rnacentral:rRNA from 1 species
ACUCAAAUGAAUUGACGGGGACCCGCACAAGCAGAGGAUCAUGUGGUUUAAUUCGACGCUACACGAAGAACCUUACCGAGGUUUGACAUCCCGCGAAUCUUUAAGAAAUUAGAGAGUGCCUUCGGGAACGCGGUGACAGGUGCUGCAUGGCCGUCGUCAGCUCGUGUCGUGAGAUGUUGGGUUAAGUCCCGCAACGAGCGCAACCCUUAUCGUAUGUUGAAUUUUUCAUACGAGACUGCCCGGGCCAACCGGGAGGAAGGUGGGGAUGACGUCAGGUCAGCAUGGCCCUUACACCUCGGGCCACACACGUGAUACAAUGGCCGGCACAACGCGUCGCCAAGUCGCAAGACGGAGCUAAUCGCAUCAAAACCGGUCUCAGUUCGGAUUGUAGGCUGCAACUCGCCUGCAUGAAGUUGGAUUUGCUAGUAAACGUGGGUCAGCAUACCACGUUGAAUACGUUCCCGGGUCUUGUACACACCGCCCGU